CUAAUUCCCAACAUUCGUAUCUUCUAUUACACCAGGCAGCCUUCGGAUGAAUGACUGUCCUUCUUCCCUUUUCUGAAUUUCUUAUCUCCGUCUCAUCCUUCCAUGGUCCUCCCACCCAAGCUCUCUCUGAUAUUGCUCCUUCCUACUUCACCCCCCACGUGGCUUACUUUUCCCAGGCUGUCACCUCUCCCAUUUCAUGCCAUCUGUCACCCAAGCAGGUGCCUCUGUGAGGACUGUGUGUCCUAGGUUUAGCACACUGCUGGUAUUCAGAACACAGAACAUGGAACCUCAUGGCUACAUCCUCAGAUGCUGAGAUGUUAGCUGGGUGUCACAAGAUCAAGGACAUAAAUAAACCCUUCACAGCCUAAAUCUGUUGGAAACCAGAAAGCAAGCAAGGCCAUAGCUUGUUAACACCAGGCUUUCUUGGAACAGUUAUCAGGUGCCCAGAGAUGGAAGCCACCCUGACUGGGGAUGAGCAGUUACUUCACCAACUCAAACUGGCUUAGACGGUCAGUGCUACCACCUGGCAUGUCAACAAAGGAUGGAGGAAGUGCAGUGCUGCUCCCCGCAAUGAUAUGAGCUGCAAUGGUGUCCUUUGGGCUGAUUUCCUCUCUCCACCCACGUCCGAAGUUUUGGGGCGUCUCUUUAGAGUUCUUUCUCUCUAGCCACAAGUCCUGCAGGCCAUUGGAAGACUAGGCUGCAGAAAGCUCAAACUGUUCCUUCCAUUUUGGGACCAGGGAACAGAGCUCACUUAAUGCUGCUCUCCCACUGAUGAUGCCCACCCAUUCUCGGCCUGCAAGCCCUACCACUCACAGCUUCAAAAAUGGCUCCGCCCUUCCUGAUUCCACCCCACACAGAAGAAAGCAACUUCUUGUGAUGCUUCCUUAUUCUGGAUGUGGCUCACCUCUUACCCCUUCCAACUCCUUUGGGUCCCCUAGAAAGCCUCCCUGGCUAAGGGGUACAGGCCCUCUCCUCAGCAGUGGGCACUGACCGUCUAACCAGGGCUCUGUCUCGGCACCUGGUAGCAAGGACGGCAAGAUACAACAACAUGCUGAUUUUAAUAGCCUCUGGCUUUCUCCACUGCGUUUCUCACCUGAAUGCCCUGCACACCAAAUCUUCCAUGGGGUCACCCUUGACCUCUAGGGCAAUUCCCAAGAAUCUAGCAGAGGAGUGGGGGAAACCAAAAGGCUGACAUGAAGGACUCAAGGGAAGCCUCUGGAAAGAAGAGACCAGACACUAAAAGGGAUGUGUGUGAAAUACUGGUUUUUAUUGGUUGGCACAAGAUUACAACCUACAAUUUCAAUGCCCUUCCCUCCCACACAGCUCAAAUGGAAGGAAACUGAUUAACACAUAGAAAGGAACGGCAGGCUCACAGGUUUAAGCAUUUGUUUUUACAAAAAGGAGUGGGAUAUGGGGGUGGUCAAGUUUUACGGGUAAUAACAACAUUCUCUCUAGAUGGCAGGGGGUAAGUCUGCCUGUCCUCCAUUGCUGGUACCACAUAAGGGAUACAUUAGUAAAGUAGGGAAAGGGUUAUAUGUGUGGCUGGCCUGUUCUUUAGAGAGGAAGGUGGGAUGGUAUCUGCUGUGUACCUGUCUCAGACCAAACCUGGGGCUGGACCAGUGCCCCUUUCUUCUCAGCCCUCCUCCACAGCCUGACUGUACUGCCAGCCGCACCCAUGAGAAGGAGGUGUGAAGGAAGCCUGAGGACAUCCACCUCGAGAAAAGGAAACAGGAAAACUAUUUCCUUCCGCCUUCUCUGGACCAAAUUUCACUCCCCUCAGCUCCAGAGAGUGCUGCAAAAAUCUUCCUUAGGGACGCUGUGAAGACACGGGGAAGAGGCCAGCCCUGAGCGGGCAAGAAGAAAAGCUUGAACUUUCCAUGCAGUACCAAGCAAGGCUAUUUUGGAAACAAGCAAACAAACAAAAAAUGGAAACCAACACCAUAUAACCACAGGUUGGGUAGCUCCUAAAUCCUGGACAGCAUUUGGAUUGGGGGUAAGGGCAAUUUUACUCCAGCUCCUUGUUUUAUAACCCGCACAAGGUGCCAAGAGGUUUAAGGACCACAACUGACCUCUCUUUCCCUACAAGCACCAUUCCUUGGAUUCCCAGUUUUGUUGAGCUCAUUUGAGGUCAUCCUUGCCAUCCUCUUAAAAAAUGACACAGCCUCUUGGUUAUUCCAUUUUCUAUCCCUUUCUACAAUUAUGAACACACUCUCUAAACAGGAGAUCUAUAUAUGCUCUCAUCCUGCAACCCAAGAGAUUAGGUGACCUAAUGAUGAGAAGGCUAACUUAUUUGCUUUCCUGGGUGGUCCUGAUGGAAAUGAACAGCAGCAGAGUUCUGGUGGGAUAGAGCAGUCUAGUCUGAGCCACUGUGUGAUUCCCCAGGGGACUGGUCCCUGGGUACAUGGGUCCCUGGCUCUCUGUCUCAGUUCCACAGAUAUUACUCAACUUGGCCAUUUACGCCUCAGCUAAAACAUAUGAGCAUGAGGGAAAAGGGACAAGAAAUACUUUUGUCCUCUAGAAAAACUUAACUCAAUACAUCUUGGCUACUUUGCCUCAACCCACGGGGUUCCCUGGAAACAUUUGUUGAACUUGGCCAAGAGGAGAUUGUAUAUGGAUGGCACACCUGGAAAAGGGGAGAAAGCACACUAGUUCAUCUCUUUUAUAAGUAGAAUGGUCCCAGGGAUGUUAACCUUUCUGAUGCUGAUAGUAGAUGAGUGGAGUGGAGGUAAUCGUGAGAAAACUUAAAAACCCUUAAGCUGUUUGGAGACUACACACCACAGUGGAGCAAACCAAGGUGGGGCCUCACUGCCUCCUCAGAGCCCAUCCCUGACCAUGUCAUUGGAUAGGAUGGAAGACAAAGUCUUUGAAAUGGAGGCUGGGCUGGCAAAAGUAAGUAUGAAGAUGCUACUACUGGCCUUCCACUUCCUCUCUCUGAUACACCUAAGAAGGUGAGAGACACUAGCUUCAAUUCCAUUUUACAACAGUUCUCAACAACCUGAAAUAUUCUUGACUUCCUUAAGCACAUGGAAAACUGGUAAGCUAUAUCUUUCUAACUGAAAUUUUACUUAUUCUAACCACCAACCUUUUCUUUGAUUAUCAACCAGUUUGACAGUCUUCAGAUCACAAAACAAUAGAACAGACCUGACAUUUACAAAACUGUACUACAUACUUAUUUCUUUUACAGUAGAGCUGACCAAUUACUUUUCUAACUACUAAUGCAACACCAUGCCACUGGGCCCUGGACUCUGAUGUUUCUGAUCCCUGAGCAACACAUCUAUGUCCAUUCACAGAUGGAAAUGAAAGAGUGAGAUUCUCAGAGGCUAAACAACAUUCUGGGAGCAAAUUGGAUUUUUGAAGGGAGAGUCCUCUUAGAAAAUUCUGAGCAAACAUGCUCCCAGUCACGAGGGAUGGGGUGAGCGGGCAGGUUUCUGUCUGUGAGCUAUAGCUCCCUUCUGAACUCCCUCAUGUUCUUGGGAGGACACAAGCCUCUUGCUCAUUAAGCAAAGGCCCUCCAAGUCUCCUUUUUACUUCAGCACUUUGGAAACUCUCCAAGACUUAACUUCCGAUCUGGGGAGGUUCUACGUGGAGCAGACCUAUCCCUUCUUAUUCCUGUUCCUGGGUGUCUCCAUAAUCAGCCUCUACCUUCCCUGGCAUAAGUCAUAUCUGUUAUGCUGCAGGAACUGAGUAACCAAAGCUAGAUAUCCCUUGGACCACUGAUUAGUGACACAUUUUCUCCACAACAAAGGGAGGUUAAAGACAAAGGUUUAACCUGAGAAACUUUUUUUUUGGCAAGAUAAUAAAGAGGUUAAAGAGGCUACGUGGAUCUGUCACUGCUUUAGCUUACCAUUUUCAAUUCAGCACCAAAGUGCUCAGAAAGACAGGCUCAGAUCAGGACGACUUCUUAAAGGGAUUCACAGGCAAUAUUACUGGCAAAAUGAUUUUCCAAAGCUGAGCCACGCGCCCCACCCUACAGGGAGGGGAGUAGAAUCUUAUGGCCCAGCAUUGGCAUUGAGGCAUCUUGCUUUUUUUCCUCAGAAUUCCACAAAGGCUUAAGAGUGAUCUAAAUGCCUGGCUGGAAGCUCAAGUCUAGGAGAGCUAUUUUACUGCACUGUUGAGAUGUUCUCUGCAAGGUAGUCACAGAUAAUAAGCAAUUUAGUAGAUAAUUAUUCUAUACAAGAAUUAAUGUUCUCUGAAACAGUGAUUAAUAGAAUCUUCACAUCUGGCCUGGCUGGGAGGCUUGGGGGCAGGAAAGGGAGGGUGGAAGGAUGGGUAGCACAUCAAAAUGGUGAUGAACCUGGCAAAACGACAAUGCUGCUGUUUUUGUAUCCUUUAAAGCCUAUAUCCAGGGUUUUAAAUGACGCUUUUUUUGUGUGCUUCCUGAUAGGAAGUCAAAUAAGUUUUAGUAUUAAGAACUGGGGAUAUAAACCAAAGGAAACCUAGAGUCAACUGACUGCUGGAGGAACAGAAGCAAUGACUUCUUUCCACCUUCUAGAUAGUAAUCUUACUUUUGUUGGCUAAAAGCACUUUCUUCAGCAUUCUGAGUUAACACGGGUUCCCUAUAAGCUCCCCUCCCCAGGUGGACAGUCUUAUUUUCUAAGACAAGCUCAAAGCUCAAACUCACCAAAUUACCACUAUAAACAAAGCUUCAGGGAAGAGACAUAACCUUACUUCAAAAGCUUCAGGUCAGAGACAGCCAAAAUCAUGUGACUGCUAGCCUCAGCUCAAGUAGUGUGCCCAAAUCAUCACAAAAUGGGAUUCCCUUCCCUUUUCUUUUUUUUUUUUUUUUUUUUGAGACGGAGUCUUGCUCUGUCGCCUAGGCUGCAGUGCAGUGGCGGGAUCUCGGCUCACUGCAACAUCCACCUCCUGGGUUCAAGCGAUUCUCCUGCCUCAGCCUCCCGAGUAGCUGGGACUACAGGAGCGUGCCACUACACCUGGCUAAUUUUUGUAUUUUUAGUAGAGAUGGGGUUUCACCAUAUUGGUCAGGCUGGUCUUGAACUCCUGACCUUGUGAUCCACCCGCCUCGGCCUCCCAAAGUGCUGGGAUUACAGGCGUGAGCCACCAUGACCAGCCCUCCAUUUAUUAAUUUAUAAGGGGACUAGAAGGACAAACUAUUUGAUUAAUUUGAAGGUGAGAGGUAUCAUUUUCUCAGAUGCUCCAACUAGGCUUCUCACAUCCCUCAAAGGUUAUCAGCUAAAGACAAGAGUUUCUGAGGCUAAUGCAAAAACAUGGUCAAAUGUGAAACCGCCCUUUUAGAGGCAGGGUUUGUGAAAGGCUGCUGGCCUCCAAAGGAGAGUAUGCCUAAACUCUCUGGGCUCCCAGGACCUGUGGUGACCUCAAGCUAACCUGAUGCACAGACAACAGUAUCUUUUAGGGACUGCAGCCAAUGUUCCCCAAUUUACUUUUUUUUUAUACCUUAAAAUAUCAAAUGUUUCAUUUUUAGGUGAUAUCCCAAGUGACACAGAAACACAGCUCCUCCGGAUGGUGAAGUCUCCGCUGCAAAACUCACGAAACAGCACAGAGGAUGACUCUAGGGUGCUCUCCCACUUGCUCCAAGUUAGGCAGGUGCCCUGAUGGAGGCAAGGCUGAGCCAUUAACAUGCACAGCUCCAUAUCCUGGAAGCCUCUGUAGCCUUGAGGAGAUAGGCUCUAUCCAACAGGACUCAGAAUAAAUGACUGCCACCUCAACUGAGCAGUAUGAACUGCCCACCUCAACUGGGCAGUCUGACCUCUUCCACAGUCUUUAAGAAACAGAAGAGCCAUUUGCAUUAUUUAAUCACCAUUCAAUAAUCUCCUCCCUCCCCAUAGCUGCUUGAGUUAACUGUCCCACAAGUGUCCUGUGUUUUGUAAAGAUGAGGGUUAUUUUCUGAAAUGCAGAUGGGACUAGGAUGAAGCUGUAUUAUCAAUUACAGAGACAGCCAACUCUCAUUUCUCUUAAAGCAAAAAUUCAUUCCACUGUGAUUUCUCCAGGUAUUUCCUGCAAUUCUAAAUCCGCCCUUGAUAUUAGAGAAUAUUAAAAUCACACAGUUGUGGCAAAAAUCACAUUGUGGCUAUUAAAUCCUUUUUGUGAACUAAAAAAAGUGAAUGUGGCUUAGGCUAAGCUGUUUUUUUUUUUUUUUUUUUAAAGAUGAGGAUGCGGACUCCAACAAAGGCAUUAAGAAAGUACUAGAUGAAAAUGAGAAAUAUGUGAAGGAUAACAUGUGAAAUGUACACUCAGGUCUAACAAAUACCUAUUAUUUCUCUGGUUAAGAAGGUUUAGCAGGAGCCUCCAAUGAGCACUGUAUGUAGAGAAAAGGGAAGGAGCAGGAGGAGGAACAGAUCUGCACAGAAUUUUUUUCUUAAAAACCACAAAGGGUGACUUUUUUCUUCUAAGCAAGCAAGCCUGAGAGGCAUUACAUGGGCUGGCUCCUAAUAUCAAAACAAAAUAUUUCUUUGCCACAAAGGAACUUGACUAUGUAGCAACACAUUUACAAAACUACUGCAAAACACUCCCAGAGGGCAGUGACCUACUCUGCUCCCCAGAGGCUCCAAGAAGCAAGGCCUCAAGUGCCUCAUGUUCCAUGGGGCUGUGCAGUGCAAUGCAGAAGGCGGAAAUCCUGCUGUGACGCCACCCUCGAGACCUUCUGCAGCCUGAGAGGGGGUGAUACUCCCACACCCUUUGAUCCUUCCAGAUGGCUCAGCCUAGAUCUAGCAGUGAGAGAGCCCUCUCCAUGCAGGGCAGAUGGAGUGGUGGACACUUGUGAAAACAAAACACUAACUGUUCCAUCCUGUUAUAUUUGCUGUGAGGAAAAUUAAGAUUCCUGUUGUAUGGGCUGCACUGUUUCUGGAAGACUACAGAAAAUCUAACAUGGUUGACACUUCCUGGUAGCCCUUCUGUACAUACACACACACACACCCAGAGAGAAGACAGAGAGAAAAUCCUGGUCCAAAAGAUCACAUGACCUUACUAGUGUUUCCCCAAUGACUGUAAUUUAUAAACUAAAAAUUUUUACAAAUCCACUGCUAUCUUCUUCUGUCCUGAGUUUGGUAGACUUUAAUGGAUGCUCCAGCAAUAACCAGAAUCUAGGACAUGCAGACUCACUGUGAGCGAGAGGCUAGGGAUCUGCCCUAAACAUAGGAACCUGUUUCUAUCAAGCCUGAAUGAGGUCAGCUCUGGUAGAAUUAAUGACAAAUCAAUGUCAGUGAAAUAUUCUGCAAACAGGGUAGCUUUUGUGCUUUCUUUUGAUUAUUUUCUUUGGGGAGAUAAAGGUAUUGCAACCAUGGGUCUAACUAAUCUAUCACUAAAGGACUGUGACGACAUUCUCAAUAAAGACAGUCAUGGUGUUUACUGUGCCAAGGAGGGAAAAUCCCAGAUCAUCAGAAUCCCAGUGCAACAGAAAACAGCACCAGUUUCAACAAUUCUGAUGUUGGACAAAGCCUCUUUUUGUCAGUUAAGAAAGCGUAAGCACAAUCUCUCAGUCAAUUGCAUUAACAGGAAUCCAUUCAUGUCACUGAAAAAUACUUCUUGGCACAGUUCACUUUCCUGACCCAAAGACACCAACAACAAUCAAAACUGCACUUUCAGGGUAGUAUAUUGUUACACUAGCCCAGUCAAAACAUACUCAGAACAUUUAAAAAUGUAUAAAUUACUGUUAGCACUGCAGUUCCGUUUUAUUUUCUUAUUUAUUUAUUAAGACAGAGUCUUACUCUGUUGCCCAGGCUGGAGUGCAGUGGCAUGAUCUUGGCUUACUGCAACCUCUGCCUCCCAGGUUUAAGCAAUUCUCAUGCUUCAGCCUACCAAGUAGCUGGGAUUACAGGAGUGCACCAUCAUGCCCAGCUAAUUUUUGUAUUUUAGUAGAGAUGGGGUUUUGCCAUGUUGGUCAGGCUGGUCUCAAACUCCUGGCCUCAAGUGACCCACCUGCCUUGGCCUCCCAAAGUGCUGGGAUUACAGGUGUGAGCCACUACACCCAGCCCUGCAGUCCCUUUUUAAAGAGUACUGACUGUUUUCCUGCAAAGUACUUUCAAAUCCAUACCAUAAAGGUAGAAUUUAUCUGGAAGAAUGUGUUUUUUGAAUUCCACCUGGCACUUGGUUAAAUCUACUUUAUUUUGCCCUUUAUUUAUUUGAACAGAACUUUAGAAUGCUCUAGGUCAGGAAAAGAAACAGUGUGUUCGUUUUUAAGAAGGAUGUGUGAAUAGUAAGUUGGCAUUCAGACUCAAGUCCCAUGGUAUUGUUCUUAUCCAAUGGGACCUCUCCUUGGGAAUAUAAUUCCUUUCCCAGAGGUAUCAUGGUAUCCCAAGAAUAUAACUGCUCUUUGGCUCUGUGUGUGAAGAUUGGGGGAGAGGAUGUAAACUAAGAGUAUAUAGCAAAAAAAAAAAAAAAAAUUUUUUUUUUUUUUUUUUGAGAUGGAGUUUCACUCUUAUCACCCAGGCUGGACGACAGUGGUGCAAUCUCGGCUCACUGCAACCUCUGCCUCCCAGGUUCAAGCGAUUAUCUCGCCUCAGCCUCCCAAGUAGCUGGGAUUACAGGCGCCCACCUAAUUUCUGCAUUUUUAGUAGAGACGGGGUUUCACCAUGUUGGUCAGGCUGGUCUCAAACUCCUGACCUCAGGUGAUCCACCUGCCUCAGCCUCCCAAAGUGCUGGGAUUACAGGUGUGAGCCACCGUGCCCAGUGAGUAGACAGCAAAAUUUAAAGUUCACCAACUGAUGUUCCCAAAAGUGCUGAACACUAAAUGACACAGGGCUAUGAGGUACAUACAUUUCUUUUAGUAGGAGGGAAAAGUAAAAGCUUUUCAAAGUUUGAGUGCUUUAUUAGAAUUUUUAAAUGAGGCGAACUAUGAUUUUAAUUUCACAUCUUGGCUAAGGAGAUGCCACUGGAGUACAGAGAUAAUCUCCUGUCUUAAGCCACGGAUCAGUCAGUGUAGCCCUCCCUACCCCUCAAUCUCAAGACCCUCUUACUUCCGAACUAAACAACACAAUUGGCAAAUGAAGCCAGCACGAAACUGUAUCAAAAAACAAGAGAGUCUGCAGUGAGCCAGUGUAUUAUGUAACCACUGUAAUAAGUGAUUACGUGGCCUCCCAUAUGGACCUUUCAUAUCCUGGUGGGAGAUGGGAGACCAAUUUAAUAGCUCUGAGCAUGCUCCAUGGUGCAAUCACAAGUGCCAUGCCAAUACAAAGACAAGCAAGCAGGUGAAUUUCCCUAGUGUACUUUUCAGGAACACGGUUACUCAGUUCAGGGACAGGACUACAUUGAUGCACCUGCAAAGUAAAGUUGGAUGCUUCAGAGCACAUGGAUGAUACCCAGGUCAGCACGGUGUAAGGCAUAUAUGGACACAAAGAGAGGCCAUUGUUGGCAAUAAAUAGCAUUACGGAAAAGAUUCCAAACCAGCAGAACAGAAAUGGACCUGAUGCUCCAGUUUUUUAGAUAAGUAAUCCCAAGAAUCCAGUUCCAACUCUACUGUCAACAUGUGGGGCAGAAUUCAAUUUCUAUCAUUGUUUUUACAGAUCUGGGCUGAGGCCAUUUGCUCCUUGCUUGGUUAAAAAAAAAUAAAAAAAUAAAAAAAGGUUUCUUCCUGUUUCUUUCUGGGCAGGGAAAUACAGCUUAAAGAAGGAAAGGCCAUGAGUCCUGGGAGCACUAUGAAGGUAGCUAAACUCUUCCCAUAUCUACAGUCAAUGACUGGGAAAUAGAGAAAGGACAGGGCAACCUGCCCAGCCACUAGCAUCGAAAACAAAAAGGUAUGUUAAUUGUGAGGCUCUCAAUUCUAGAAAUGCCCAAAUUAAAAGAGAAAAAAACCUUGAAAAAUUAAACAAAUUUCUCUUUCUAGAAGUCAUUUAUUUACAUAUUAUAUGUCCGAUAUAUAAUGUGUAGAUAAAUGUAUACUGCAGUGAAAGUGACCACUCUACUGAACUGUACAGCACAUUAUAGGACAAAUUAUUGGAAGUUUUCAUCUCAUACUGGUAUCUUUUAAUAAAAAAAAAAAAUUAAAAAUCAAAGAAAACGUCUGGCCAGGGCCAGGAUAAGACAAACAGGAACACUUCAGAAUCCAAGGCAGGGGAAGGCUGUUGGCCUCUCUUCAGAGGACUGCAGGGGUGGGAAGAGGGAGGGACAGAUCAUGCACAAAAGUACUUACAAAUUACACACCCAACCCCCACCCUCAAUAAAAACAGAAGAAAAAGCCCCAUCACUUAACACCAAACAGCAACAUUAUCAAUACACCCUUUCUUUGCUGCCCACCAUGCCUUAUUUGAAAGAGGAGGCCUGUGAGAAGUGGAAAGAGCCAGGGUGAGAGGGAAGAUUUGCACUUCAGUCUAGUUUCCAAUUUCCAUUUCUCUUACAGGAAGUCUUCAGUCAUCUGAUGCCUGACAUCGAGCUCUGAGCAGAAACCGAGUAUGUGGUGGCCACGACUGGGGUGCCAUUGUUGGCUGAGUAGCCUUGCCUCAAUGUUUCAAAAUAUGAUGCCUGCACGGGUUUGUGAUACUGCAGCACUUUUAUGGCGUCUUCUAUUUUAAACCAUUCCCUCUUCCUUCCUGUGGAGGCAGAGAGAAAAGAAACUAGUACAAGAGUAAUAAGGUUUCUGAGCCUAGAACUUUUGAGAAAAUAUAGAAAACAUUAAAGCAAUGUUUCUUAACACUUUUUUUCCUUACAAAAAUAACUCAAGCACACUUCAUAUGCUUCAAAUAUUAUAUCAAUGUCUAAUGCAGAAAGGUGAGAAACCUGAAAACCAAAGAGCUAAGAGUAAUUGUGUAAAACCUGCCCUCCAGAGAGAACUACGGCUAGUGUUUUCCUCCUGCCCUCCUGCGUCUCUGAGCUUUCCUUGCUUGCACAUACAUAGGGAUCAAAGCCCAGCAGCAUCCCCAUCUCCUGUAAAAACUGACAUGAGGGCCGGAUGAG
rnacentral:lncRNA from 1 species